rnacentral:rRNA from 1 species
GAUUUCUGGCUUGGUGCGCCUGGCCCGCCACGGUUACGUGUGUGAGUGCUGGGUCGCGCCUGCCAUCCUUCUAGAGAACGUCUCUACUCUUCAUUGAGCCGGAGGCGCUAUCUAGAUCUUUUACUUUGAAAAAAUUAGAGUGUUUAAAGCAGGCUUUUGCUAUGAAUACAUUAGCAUGGAAUAAUAAUUUAGGACUUCGGUUCUAUUUUGUUGGUUUCUAGGACUGAAGUAAUGAUUGAUAGGGAUAGUUGGGGGUGCUAGUAUUCAGCGGCCAGAGGUGAAAUUCUCGGAUUCGCUGAAGACUAACUACUGCGAAAGCAUU